GGUUCUAUGGUGUAAUGGUUAGCACUCUGGACUCGCAAUCCAGUGAUCCGAGUUCAAAUAUAAGUAGGACCU
rnacentral:tRNA from 1 species